rnacentral:lncRNA from 1 species
GAAAGUAUUGGAUAAUCUCCUAGAAAAAUGGCUCUUGGGGUAGUAACAACCAAUCAGCAGCCCUGAAAGUACACGGGGAAGCAUCAGAGCAGAGGGAGAAUGCAGUCUACUCCUCUGCUCGAGAAUUUACGGGAGGUCCAGGAAUCAGGACUGUGGGAGGGGGCUUGAGUUUUGCUAUUUGGCCACCAGAACUAUUCCAAAAUUUCCAGCAAAUUCCUUGGAGUUAAGGAUGAAUCAAAAUAUACGGAAGAUGUUCAGCAAUUUAACCUUGGCGAACUGAGAAGACAUUGGUUGCAUAACCUCAGUUGCACCAUGUAAGUUAAGUUCCUAAUCUAACCCUCUCUUUUUAUGACUAGUUGAAAUGAACUCUAAGAAAUAUUUUUUUAUCCUCCAAAUUGCAUUUAUUUAUGUUUUUUUUUUUCUUUUAGAUGGGUCAUAAUGUACCCCUUUCUUCAGAGUAAAGAUUCUGUUAUGAUGAUUGAAUGCUUGCUUCUCCCGACUGAGAUGAUGUGAAGAUACAGGGGAUAAAAUCUGCCGCUAACCUGAGAUGAAAAAAAAAUCUUGAGAUGUUAGGGGUCCUGGUGCUGGCGAGAGCCAUCUUUAUCUGAAUGAAGAUUUUUUUCUUAAUCUCCUCGUGUCAUUGGACACACAGUUUGACAUUUCUGUCAGUGCCUGUGGGUAUGACAGUGGAGUGGAGCGAGGCAAAAAUUUGAAGCAAAUAUGCCCAAUAGACUGAUUAUUUUUCUCUCCUAGGCCUCAGGUUUAGGCAUAAUAACUUUCAUAAAUUCCAAUGACUGGCAUCAAAGAGUUAAUGAGGUCAUUUCCAUAAUUAUUCAUCUUCCUAAAGUGAAGAUAAGCUGGAAGCCACUUCAGUUGUCAAAAUUAACUGGGGCAUCAAUCAAAAGCUCGUAGAUUUUGAGAUAAUUCUGUAUUUAAACUCAAUUUGGUUUCCACAGGGGGACCGUAACCUGCCUAGGAGGCUUAAUUAGGCUAACUGCCUGAAAAACAGCAUAAAGCAUAUGGGUGGGUUUCUAUUCAAAACUGGUUUUAUGAGCAUUCUCAUAACUCUUACAGAAAAUAAAUGAACUUUCAGGGAUCUUCA